rnacentral:lncRNA from 1 species
CAGGCUGCCCUCGGGCAGUCUCAUUUCCAACCCCGGCCAAGAAAGCUGUGCUAGAGGUGGCCUAGAUUUCCAGAGUUUGGGGGCACAAUGUGAGGCCAGAUAUAGAUCCUGUAGAAGACAACUGAACUUGAUUGUUUUAAAGGAUUUCCUAUCAAGAGCACCAUCUGAAGUGGACACAAUUGGAGAAACUGGUUAUUUUACCAAGGCUUUGACUGGAAUGGUGCACUUUCCUUUAAGGAUCAAACAUGACUUAUGGAGCCAAUUAAAUCCCCUUGGGAAAACUGGCCUCAUUGCUUGUCUACACAGUUCCUGUCCAGGGUUCCUGACUUACGGAUGUGAGACUUCACAACCUGCUAAAAAUGAACUUUCCUAAUAACUCGGGACCUACCCAUCUAGGAAUAAACCAUCCUAUUCAUGACAGUGCCUGUGAAAGAUAAAGGAGAAAGAAUCAGGGUUGGAGAACUGGAAAAGUCUUGGCCAACCAAAUAGGCAACCCUGCAGCAAAGAUUGCCCAUUAGAAGAGUCAAAUGCUAGGAAGAAAUUGCAAACCCUACUAUUCUCACUGUGCUCAAACUUCGACUAGGAACUUCCACAAAGAGUGUGGCCUUGGCUUGAACAUUGCAGCAGCAGAUUAUGUAGGUGCUGAACUUGGAGUUUUGCACUUCUCACAGCUGACAGCAAAUUCUUUCUUCAAGGGAGACCUGAGCAGUCCUCCAUAUCUGCCAAAUUACUGCAUAGGAACAAAAAGGAGCCCUCCAUUCAUCUAAGAAGCAAAAUGAACUAGCAGAGAGAGCUUUGGCAUCAGGCAAAUCUGAUUGUAAAUACUUCUAGCAUAUAGUUGCUCUUACAUUGAGUUGGAUUGCUGGAUCAGGAAAUAUUAAUAUUUUAAAGACAUUUAUUACCAAACCAGUAUCAAAAAUAUCACUUUGGUUGACCAUGAUACCAGCAAUGGAUACAUGUAUAUGUUUCCCUGAAAUGCUAUGAAUACUGUUUUUCUGAGGCAUGAAGAGUGAUAAAAUAGUAUCACAGUUCCAGCAAUCACACCUACCAUCAAAGCAGGAAAAGAAGAAAAGCAUAAAGCAAGAGGUUUCACUUGAAUUUUGUCAAGAAAACAAAGACUCGUCCAAAAUUUUCUUUACAUCCUGUUGGUCAAAAAUAGUUUGAACUGGCAGCUCUAACUGCACGAAAGGUUGGAAGUAGUUUAAGAGUGACCACAAUUGAGAAAAAGAACAAGGAACUGGGCAAAGUUCAGAGAUGAGCAAAAGCACUAGUUUUCAUGAAGAGUUACACACAGAAUUAAUUAUGGCCUUUUAUGAAUCAAUAAUAUGCUUGCCUAUGUUCAAUCAGGAUCACAUGAUGACUGUGCUACCUCCAUCCGUCACAUCUUUAUUCAAUCAGGAAAAGAGAGAAGAGAGGUCAUAGCAACCAUGUCUAUCCAUCUUAGUAACAAUUUAGUUUUCUGGCCUGGCGCGGUGGCUCAGGCCUGUAAUCCCAGAACUUUGGGAGGCCGAGGCGGGUGGAUCACCUGAGAUCAGGAGUUCGAGACCAGCCUGAUCAACAUGGUGAAACCCCUGUCUCUACUAAAAAUACAAAAAUUAGCCAGGCAUGGUGGCGCAUGCCUGUAAUCCCAGCUACUUGGGAGGCUGAGGUAGGAAAUCACUUGAACCCAGGAGGCAGAGGUUGCAGUGAGCUGAGACUGUGACACUGCACUCCAGCGGGGGCAAAAAGAGCAAAACUUCAUCUCAAAAAAAGAAUUUAGUUUUCUGGAGGCUACUCUCACAGACUUAUGCUUAGCAUCUGUUAUAAGGUGAAUUGUGUCCUCUUAAAAGUAACAGGUUAAAACCCUAACCCCCAGUACCUCAGAAUGUAACUCUAUUUGAAGAUAGAGGCAAUAAAGAGGUAAUUAUGGUUAAAUAAAGUCAUCUGGGUGGGCCUUCAUUCAAUCUGAGCUGUAUUCUUUAAAAAGAGGGAAAUUUGGACACGUACACAAGACACCAGAGAUAUUCACACACAGAGGAAAGACUAUGAGGGGAUGCAGGUAGAAGGCAGCCUUC